GGUGUGUGUGUCUGAUCUCUGGUAAGCAUGUGUGUAGUUUCUUUUGUUGUUUUAAUAUGUUUUAUCUGUAAUGCUUUUACCUUAAGAAUAAAUGUGCUUGUUU